AGUCUUCUUUUGAAUAAAAAGUGAAUCAAUUAGAUUGAUCGUGGAAUUUCUUUCUUUCUUAUUUUCGGAAUAUGAUUGUGUGACUUGUUAUAAUUGAUCCUAUUGAUAGUACAGAGAAUGGGUCUAUUAUCUUGAUAGAGGUAUUUCUACUUUAUCAGAUAUUUAUUCUAGUAUAUGGAAAAUGAAAUAUAUGAACUAGAUUAAGAAAUGUUUAAACUAUGAUUAGUACUUAAUAUUCGACUUCGUGUCUAUACUCUAAAAAGACUUCAAAGAAUAAAAAAAAUUAGUCUAUCUAUUUGAUGGAAUAAGUGAUUAUCCAACGGUUCUUACUUGGAGAAUCCUUGGCUUAGCUUAGUUGAAUCAUCAUGGUUUUUGUAUGAAUUUGAGGUUAUAAUCAAUUCAUAGGAUCUUAACAAAAUAAUUCCUAUCAGUUCAAUAAUAAAGAUAACAAAAAAAGCCACAUUAGAUACAAAACAAAUUUAAGAGAUAGUUAAAGAGAUAACUCAUGAAGUCUGUAUGGAUCAAGAUGAUUGAGCCUACUUGAUGUUUUGAUAUUAUCGUCAAAAAGAAGAGCUUUCGAUUUUUUUUUCUUUAACACAUCAAAUAAGACUGAAUCAAAUAUUUAAAAGUUUCAAACUUUCUAUUAUAUAUCAUUACAAUUAGUAUUUGAUUGCUUUUGCUUGAGCUGUACAAGAUAAUAGUCUUAUAUAUAGUUCUUAGUGGGGGAUUUUCACCUAUC
rnacentral:lncRNA from 1 species